rnacentral:rRNA from 1 species
GAUGAACGCUGGCGGCGUGCUUAACACAUGCAAGUCGAGCGAGAAAAGUUCUUCGGAGCUGUUCUAGCGGCGGACGGGUGAGUAACACGUGGGCAACCUGCCUCAUAGAGGGGAAUAGCCUUCCGAAAGGAAGAUUAAUACCGCAUAACAUUGUUGAAAGGCAUCUUUUAACAAUCAAAGGAGCAAUCCGCUAUGAGAUGGGCCCGCGGCGCAUUAGCUAGUUGGUGAGGUAACGGCUCACCAAGGGGACGAUGCGGAGCCGACCUGGGAGGGUGAUCGGCCACAUUGGAACUGAGACACGGUCCAGACUCCUACGGGAGGCAGCAGUGGGGAAUAUUGCACAAUGGGGGAAACCCUGAUGCAGCAACGCCGCGUGAGUGAUGAAGGUCUUCGGAUUGUAAAGCUCUGUCAUUAGGGACGAUAAUGACGGUACCUAAGGAGGAAGCCACGGCUAACUACGUGCCAGCCGCCGCCGUAACAC